UGGCGAACGGGUGAGUAACACGUGGGUGAUCUGCCCUGCACUCUGGGAUAAGCCUGGGAAACUGGGUCUAAUACCGGAUAGGACCAUGCUUUAGCGUGUGUGGUGGAAAGUUUUUUCGGUGUAGGAUGAGCCCGCGGCCUAUCAGCUUGUUGGUGGGGUAAUGGCCUACCAAGGCGGCGACGGGUAGCCGGACUGAGAGGUUGGUCGGCCACAUUGGGACUGAGAUACGGCCCAG
rnacentral:rRNA from 1 species